GCAUUAAUGGGGUAGUGGUAACCUGGUAACCUGGGUCGUUGCCAUCCGAGCGCUAGCUCGACCCGCCGGGGGUUCGAUUCCCUCUUAAUGCA
rnacentral:tRNA from 1 species